GGCCCCGUGGCGGAAUGGGAUACGCAGCGGACUUAAAAUCCGCGGCCCCGAAAGGGGCGUGUGGGUUCAACUCCCACCGGGGCCA
rnacentral:tRNA from 1 species